AUUCUUAUUUCCAUCAUUAAGAUAGCUUCAAAGAAACCAAGAAACGACUUUUUAUUUUGUACAUGGAGAAAGUUUUCUAAAGUUAUUCUAUUAAACCAGAGAAAAGAAAGUUACAAGAUCUUCAGUGAAACUGUCUUCAACUGUCUUGCCUUUGGUGACCUGGUCUGAACUAUGCCUUGGAGUGUUCACAGAGCCCAGUGUCUGGCCACUGCACACUUCAAAGACAAAGAAUAUUCAUGUGUGUAUCAGUAGAGCCUUUCUGAAGCAUAAACUGAGAGGGUGUGGAAGUCAUAAACGAAGGCACACUGAAAGAUGCAAGGAUCUUGAGCCAUGAAUCACAGCAAAGAAGGCAUCCUACCAAAGACCUGAAUUCUUAAAAGAGCAAGAAAUUAACAUGUAUUGUGUUAAACCCCUGAGGCUUGGUGCUUAACAAAACUUUGAUAUCAUCUACCCUCACAGAAUAGGGAAAGAAAUACCAUUCCUAUUUUGGUGAUGGAUGAAGAUAUUGAGACUUAGAAGAUCCCAGACUUCCUUAGUCCAUCCCAUUCUCUUCUUAAUGUAGUAGGUGUCUUCAAAUGCUGCAACCAAAUAGUAACAGCAGAUAAUAAAUUAGGCUGACACUAUAUAAAGCAUUGUUCUUGUAUUUCUGUGCAUGGGUCACAGCCUUCCUAUCCUUAAGUGCCCCUAGAAGAUGAGCAUUAUAAUUACACCCAUUUAACAAGUGAGGAAAUUGAAAAAUAAAGGUGUAAAAUAAUUUUUCCCAUGGCCAACACUUACAUAGGAGGUGGUGCCAGGAUUAGAACUCAGAUAGCAUGAUUCAUACUCUGACUGACUACCCAGCAAACCCAGCAUACACCACAGCCUCCAGACAACAGGAGAUUUCACUUCAUUAUGUGACUUAAUGCCCUAUGGGAAGCUGAUCAACAUUGACAAAGGGCAGAAGUAAGAAUUAUAUACAACCUGUGUUGUGUGACUCUUGCUUUUGAUUUUGCUUGAUAUUCAGUGUUUCUGGUAGGAAUCGAAAUCAUUCAGAGACUUUGCUAGAGAUCUGUUCAUUUGCCACGAGCAGAGGACCAUUUUGCUCAUGAAUGCAGGAGUCUCAAUGGCUGACAUGGAAUAACUGAUUUACCUGCUGGUUUGGGGUCCUGGCAAAAAGAGCUGAAUUACCAUGUUGUUAGUCACAUUACAGGUAUGAUCCCUGAGCAACAAUGAUUGAGAGCUACUUUGUGUUUGUUCGUUUCCUAGGUAAUGAAAGAUAGUAGACCAAAUAUAAGCUCUCUUCACAUCUAGUCAAAAGGGCUAAUGCCAGCAGUACAAAUCUUUGAAACCAG